rnacentral:rRNA from 1 species
AUUGAACGCUGGCGGCAGGCCUAACACAUGCAAGUCGAGCGAGUGGCGGACGGGUGAGUAAUGACUGGGGAACUUCCCGAGGGAGGGGGAUAACUAAUGGAAACGGUAGCUAAUACCGCAUACCAUCGGAUGUGCCCAGAUGGGAUUAGCUAGUAGGAAGGGUAACGGCUCACCUAGGCGACGAUCCCUAGCUGGUCUGAGAGGAUGACCAGCCACACUGGAACUGAGACACGGUCCAGACUCCGACGGGAGGCAGCAGUGGGGAAUAUUGCACAAUGGGCGAAAGCCUGAUGCAGCCAUGCCGCGUGUAUGAAGAAGGUCUUCGGGUUGUAAAGCACUGUCAGCGGGGAGGCGUUACUCGCAGAAGAAGCACCGGCUAACUCCGUGCCAGCAGCCGCGGUAAUAC